rnacentral:pre_miRNA from 1 species
GUUAUGACGGACUAUUGCGGGAGUGCAUUGUAGUUGCAUUGCACCUGUUCGUAAUAAACGUGCAAUAUUACUACAAGGCAAAUCUCGAACUAGUUGCAUUC